rnacentral:lncRNA from 1 species
ACAAUUUCAAGCAAGCCAAAGCCUCCGUUGUUCCUUGACUAGACAAAGGGAUUUAGUUCAUCCCUUGUCUACUCCUAUCGAAAAGAAAAGAAAAGUAACAACUCCAGAUGAAAGGAAAAGUCAAAAGCUCCUCCAUCCAAGCAGUGCUCCUGACUUGCGCAGGAGCAACUACCAAAAGACGGAAAACGGCCAAGUCAAAGUGUAAAGCCACGAAUCCCUAAAGUAGUGCUAAUUCCCCCUUUUUACAUACGAGAAUUGAAAAUUAAGCCAAAAGCCCACAAGAGAAAAGUCAACAAAAGCAAUCCAAAAGUGACCCUUCUCUGCGGCGGCCCACCAGCAAGAAGAAAACCCUCCAGCCGUCCUAGCCUUUGCGGUAAUUACCAAAUUGGGUUCCAGUAUUCCUUUUCCAAAAAUGCCCCUGGGAUAAUCUCUAUUACUUGGACUCUUUUCUUGUUAAAUUGGCACUUGUUAUCAUAUCUUCGUUCUACUCCCUGAAAUAAAUGUAAAAUAUCAAAAGUGAGUAGAAUCUAACAAUUAAUCCACAUUAGGUCAGAUAAUAGGGGAAAUUAAUAAUAAAAUAAAUUAUAAAAUUGCAACCUAUCACUUCUAAAGUUCUAGUUGGAUGGAGAAUUUGUAUUGAUUAUAGAAAAUUCAAUGCGACUACUAGAAAAGAUCAUUUUUUUUCUUCUUUUUGUUGAUCAAAUUAUAGAAAGAUUGGCGGGAUAUGACUUUUAUUAUUUUUUGGAUAGUUUUUCAGGAUAUAAUCAAAUAGUCAUUGCACCAGACGAUCAAGAGAAAACCACAUUUAUUUGUCCUUACAGCACCUUUGCAUUUCGAAAAAUGCCAUUUGGAUCGUGCAAUGCAUCUACCACUUUCCAACGAUGCAUGAUGGUAAUUUUUUUCGAUUGUAAUGAGAAAAUCAUGAAAAUUUUUAUGUAUGACUUCUCUGUAUUUGGAUCUACUUAUAAUCAUUGUCUUAACAAUUUAGAUCUAAUUUUGUAGAGAUGUGAAGAGACAAAUCUUGUACUCAAUUGGGAAAAAUGUCACUUCAUGGUUUGUGAGAGUAUUGUUCUAGGCCAUAAAAUUUCUUCAAAAGGUGUCAAAGUGGAUCAAGCAAAAGUGGAAGUGAUUGAGAGAAUACCUCCACCAACCAAUGUGAAAGGCAUUCGAAACUUUCUUGGACAUGCGGGGUUCUAUCAGCGAUUUAUAAGGGUUUUUCCAAACUUGCUAGGCCUCUAUGUGAUUUACUUGCCAAAGAUGUUCCUUUUCAUUUUAAUGAUGAAUGUCUAUUUGCUUUUAAUAGGUUGAAGAAGGAACUUGUUUUCGUACCCAUAAUAAUAUCACCAAAUUGAAGUUUACCGUUUUAAUUGAUGUGUGAAACUAGUAAUUUUGCAGUAGGAGCUGUUCUUGGACAAAAGUAUGAUAAGAGAUUUCAUGUCAUUUACUAUGCAAGUAAAAUGCUUAAUGAGAUUCAAAUCAAUUAUGCGGCAACAAAAAAAGAGUUACUUGCAGUGAUAUUUGCAUUAGAUAAAUUUAGAUCUUAUCUAGUAGGAUCUAAAGUCAUUGUCUACACCGAUCAUGCGGCUCUUAAAUAUCUUUUAAAUAAGAAAAAUGCAAAGUCUCGACUAAUUCGAUGGAUUUUAUUAUUGCAGAAAUUUGAUUUGGAAAUCAAAAAUAAAAAGGGAUCUAAGAAUCUAGUUGUAGAUCAUCUUUCUAGAUUGAAGAACACCUCACAAGAAGACCAAAUUCCUAUUAAAGAAGAGUUUCCAGAUGAGUUCUUAUUGGCUGUUCAAAAGUCACCAUGGUAUGCCGAUUUAGUCAAUUUUGUGGUUAGUGAAUUGCUAUCAAGUGAUUUAAAUAGCAUCUCAGCUUCAAAUACAUGUUAUUAUCAAAUACAUAUUAAUCUACUUCAUUAUUACAGGGUACCCUUGACUGCAAAGCAAUAGAGGAAAGCAUUAACAGCUCCAUGAUUGUUUGCUUCGUCAAAAAGACCAAACAAUCAUAUGCAAUGACGGAGCCAAAGGGGCUUAUGGGGGCCAUAGCCCCCCAAGUUUUGAAAAUUUUCAUUUAUAGUAUGUAAAUAUAUAUGUGUAAAACAAAGUUGACCCGCCCUAAUUCUUUACAAUUUUAGUUUAUAUUAUGAGAGUUUAUAUAUAUAUAUAUAUGUGUGUGUGUGUGUGUGUGUAUGAAUUAGCUACCUUUGAAUUAAUUUUUCUUCAAAAAAUUUAUUUAUUUUUUAUAUGCCUUUAUAAUUAAAGUUAAUAUUUGAUGUUUUUAAAUGUCAUAUAUUUAAAUGGAUGGAAAUUAUUUUGAACAUAGUAUAUUAAAAAAUUUUUGUUAGAAAAAUUUUGGCUCCCCUAGGAAAAAAAAAUCCUAGCUCCGUCGCUACCAUAUCCAUCAUCCUCACUGAAAAGUAUACAACUAUUAUAGCGCACAAGCUGAACUUGGGAGAAAUUGAAACCAGAGGACUGCCACAAAUAUAUUCUGAUGCUAAGAGUUCAAGAGCAGCAGAAACAGCAACAAUGCAUGCUAAGUUGACAACAGUACCAACUGAAAACACUACAACUUCAUCUGGAGGUCAUGACAACAAACUUGAGACAGAACUCCUCACUACACUGAAAAUAACAAAAAUCCCUACCAAGAAACAAAAGACCACUGCUGAAAAAGUGAAGGAAAAAGACGACAUGGCCAAACAGAAUUAAUAGCCACUAAUUCCUUCACCUUUUUGCCAGCCAGCACACUUUUGCAGAUUCAAUGAUCUAAACUCCAGCUCUUAAGCCAUAGUUUUUGCAAUGUAUAUUUUGGAGAUUCACUGAUGUCCACUGAGGUUCUUAACUGCCAACUUUUGACAUCUGCGAACAAUAGAUGUAAAACACUUUUGCUAUCAUAACAAUGCCAUCCUAUUAACCAACACUCAAAUGUUGUUACCUUCCCAAAUUCACUCAUCUCAACUACGCCUCUUCUAACAUUAUGAAUUUCCUCAUUCUUAUUAAAUGUUUCCUGAUUCUUAUUAAAUAUAAUCCAAAACUUUCCUCCUCAAUUUCUUAACAAAAUCAACCUUUACAUAUAUGCACAGGCACCACCGCCCGCGCAUCGCCCAGAUACCACCCCAAGAGUAGAGAUAUGAUGAUCCCUCGACCUAGGUUCAAUUCUUUCAAUGAACUGAGUACAACUUCCUUGUUUGGAUGAUUGGGAUUUCUUGCUAAAUGAUUUUGAAAAAAUCUCUUAAGCAGUCCUCCACCAUGCACCUUUGCGUCUAAGAAAUGCACUUAUUUAGUAAGUGCUACAAUAACAUUCAAAAAACACGUUUAAAAUACAAAUUUCAAGAUGGAUAGUUUAAGAUCGGCUUUUGUAUUAGGAAAAAACGUAUUAGAAAUUUUCAAGUCCGUAGGGUACAGUUGGAGGGGAAGAAAGGAAUUUGGCAAAGUUUAGCUCAAAGAGAAGCUUGCUCGUAAACUAUUUUAAUAAUAAACUUUUGAUCCCUCAUCUAUUUCAUGUAUCAAUUUAUCCCUUGAACAUUAAAAGGCACCAAAGUCAAAUACUUUGGUUCAUUCAUUACUAUUGUUAUAGCAGACAGAAUGAACAAUAUUUUUGUCCGCUAGAAAUGAAGACAUAACCCCAGUCAAACUCACAAAAUAUAACCCAAGUCAAGCUAGGUAUUUUUUUGCAAAUAUCAUAUCAAUAAGGCAAAAUGGCCAAUUUCAUCCUUAAACUUUGUUGUGAGUGCCAAUUUAGCCCCUAACUUUUAUUUCUAAUCAAUUUGAUACCUGACCUUAUUUUGCAGUUUCAAUUAAGGACUUCUGCGGUGGCACCACUACCAAAAACCAAUCUGGCUCCUAAUUGACUAAUUAACUAAUGGUAUUAUAGGAAUGUCAUUCACAAGACCGUAACAAAACAAAUAAAUUGUAUAAAAAAUCAUUAGAUAAAAGUUUUAAAUUGUGUAAAAAAUCGCAAGAUAAAACUUUUUUAAAGUUUAAUCUUGUUAUUUUUUACACGAUUUACUUGAUUUAUAAUAAUCUAAUGAGUGACGUUCUCAAAGUACCCUUAUUUAGUUGGUCAAUUAGGAGUCAGAUCGGUUUUAGGUGAUGGCACCACCACGAAAGUCCUUAAUUGGAACCGCAAUGUAAGUUCACAAAUCAAUUCAUCUAAGAAUAAAAGUUAGGGGUUGAAUCAAUACUAGGGAAAAGGUUUAUGGAUGAAUUGACUAUUUUCCCUAUCAAGAAAGACUUUUAGGGAAUUUUGACAAAAUAAUAAUUAAUUAGGAUAAUUGCACAUAGGUCUGUCAAUUAGGCCAUCUGAAUCGGACUUUAACAAGAUUAGAUUCGAUUCAUACAGUUAGUACCACUUUUGAGUUUUCGAUUAUAAGUUUCGAGUUGAUAAAUGUGAAUCUCAUAUUUGACUUAUAAAAUAUUCAAGUUGUGAGUCUAAUUCGAGUUUAGUUCAAACUCACUUAUUGCUCAUUAAUUUCCUUAAUAUAAGUACUAUAACUAUUAAGUUCUAAAGCUAAUUUAACAUCCACAAGACCACAACAUUAAAACUAUACACAAACCAGUAACAGUUCAUUAAAAAAUAUAUAAGCCAAGAAUUUUCAACAAUAAUAUAGCCAAUUAGUUCAAAGUAUAUGGAAAAUAGUAAUAAAAACAUGGUCAACAGUCAAUACAUCUUCAAAGGUCCUCAAUUUGCUUAUCCCAAGAUUUGUCCUUCUAAAUCUUUUGAUAUAAUUUUGUAUAUUUAAUAUUUCAUAUAUAUAUUAAUAUAUUUUGACGCAUAACUCAUAAGUAUAAAGUAUUAUUAUUAUAUAUUUAGAUAUAUAAUUAUAUAUCAAAAUAUGAAUAUAUUGUAUAUAAUUAUAUAUAUAGAUGCAAAUUAAAGAGUCGGACCUAUAUUGUAUUUGAGUCUAAUAAGAUCUAAACUUAGCUCACAUUUAAUUCGAACCUAAUAUUUAGGUCCAAAGUAAGCCUAAUUCAAUGAAAGAUUAUGCUCAUCGAACUUUUUUUGGGGCCAAACAAGUUGAGAUCGAAUUGGCCUAACCCCAUUAAAAGUCCUAACUGCAUAUAUAUAUGUUUGUCCUCUAUAUAUAUAUGAUGAUCUCUCGACCUAGGUUCAAUUUUUUCAAUGAAAUGCUUUUUUGCUCUUUUCAUUAUAUAUUAAGUGCAUUUCAUGAACUUAGUACAACUUCCUUGUUUGGAUGAUUGGGAUUUCUUGCUAACUCAUUUUGAAAACAUCUCUUAAGAGUCCUCCACCAUGCUCCUUUAUAUCUUAGAAACACACUUAUUAGAAAGUGCUACACUAACUCUUUUUUUAAAAAAAAAACGCUUAAAAUACUUACAAGACGGAUAGUUUAAGAUUGGCUUUUGUACUAGGAACAAUGUACUAGAAAAUUUUCUAGUCCUUAGAGUACAGUGGAAGGCGAAUAAAGGAAUUUGACAAAAUUUAGCUCAAGAAGAAGUUGGCCCUAAACUCGUUUAAUAGUAAACUUUUGACCCCUCAUCUAUUUCAUAUAUCAAUUUGGCCCUUGAACAUUAAAAAGCAUCAAAUUCAAAUAUUUUUCUUCAUUUAUUGCUAUUGUUAGAGCAAAUGGAAUUAAUGAUAUUUUUGUCCAUAUAUAAAUCAAAUAAUCAAGACUUAAUAAGAGUAGUAGUAGAUCAUCAUCUUCCUCAAAUACCUCUCAAAUUAGGACUUCUUGGCUCUUGAUUUCCAAAGAAGAAGAUGGAUCAAGAGCGAGACAGUUCCAGGAGAGAACCUAACACCUCUUGUCUACCAAUGUGGGUUGAGAAGCAUUAUAGGGACUUCAUGGACAAGUUGGAACCCUAGCCGGAAACCUGCAAAAUAUCCUUUGCUUUGGGUAUGAUUGGUGAAAAUGGUUGAAUUUGAAUUGGAAAUGGAAAUUUGACAUUCAUAGCAAUGUACUCUUUUCUAGGGCCAAGGAUGCAAAUUUUGGUAGUGGUUGAAUGAAGAAAUUUGUCAUUGUUCAGUUGAAAUCAUACAUGGUGUAUUUCAAAGACUUGACAAUAGAAAAUCAAGUACAAUUUGCUGAAGAUUAUGCAAAUAGAUGAGAGCGUAGAGCACGAAUGGAGGCAAAAGUUCAUUGUAUGGAAGUUGAUGUU